GCUGAGAUGAAGAUUGUACAGGGCCAACUUGAGCAGUACCAGGAGCAGUUGAGCAGAUCUGAAGUGGUUCUGAAGGAGCAAAAGACUUUGAACGAGAAAGCCAUCAAGGAGACGGAG